rnacentral:rRNA from 1 species
GGACUACCCGGGUUUCUAAUCCUGUUUGCUCCCCACGCUUUCGUGCAUGAGCGUCAGUAUUGGCCCAGGGGGCUGCCUUCGCCAUCGGUGUUCCUCCACAUCUCUACGCAUUUCACUGCUACACGUGGAAUUCCACCCCCCUCUGCCAUACUCGAGCAAUGCAGUCACCUAUGCAGUUCCCAGGUUAAGCCCGGGGAUUUCACAUCGGUCUUACAUCACCGCCUGCGCACGCUUUACGCCCAGUCAUUCCGAUUAACGCUUGCACCCUACGUAUUACCGCGGCUGCUGGCAC